rnacentral:rRNA from 1 species
AAAUUGAAGAGUUUGAUCAUGGCUCAGAUUGAACGCUGGCGGCAGGCCUAACACAUGCAAGUCGGGCGGUAGCACAGAGAGCUUGCUCUCGGGUGACGAGCGGCGGACGGGUGAGUAAUGUCUGGGAAACUGCCUGAUGGAGGGGGAUAACUACUGGAAACGGUAGCUAAUACCGCAUAACGUCGCAAGACCAAAGUGGGGGACCUUCGGGCCUCAUGCCAUCAGAUGUGCCCAGAUGGGAUUAGCUAGUAGGUGGGGUAACGGCUCACCUAGGCGACGAUCCCUAGCUGGUCUGAGAGGAUGACCAGCCACACUGGAACUGAGACACGGUCCAGACUCCUACGGGAGGCAGCAGUGGGGAAUAUUGCACAAUGGGCGCAAGCCUGAUGCAGCCAUGCCGCGUGUGUGAAGAAGGCCUUCGGGUUGUAAAGCACUUUCAGCGGGGAGGAAGGCGGUGAGGUUAAUAACCUCAUCGAUUGACGUUACCCGCAGAAGAAGCACCGGCUAACUCCGUGCCAGCAGCCGCGGUAAUACGGAGGGUGCAAGCGUUAAUCGGAAUUACUGGGCGUAAAGCGCACGCAGGCGGUCUGUCAAGUCGGAUGUGAAAUCCCCGGGCUCAACCUGGGAACUGCAUUCGAAACUGGCAGGCUAGAGUCUUGUAGAGGGGGGUAGAAUUCCAGGUGUAGCGGUGAAAUGCGUAGAGAUCUGGAGGAAUACCGGUGGCGAAGGCGGCCCCCUGGACAAAGACUGACGCUCAGGUGCGAAAGCGUGGGGAGCAAACAGGAUUAGAUACCCUGGUAGUCCACGCCGUAAACGAUGUCGAUUUGGAGGUUGUGCCCUUGAGGCGUGGCUUCCGGAGCUAACGCGUUAAAUCGACCGCCUGGGGAGUACGGCCGCAAGGUUAAAACUCAAAUGAAUUGACGGGGGCCCGCACAAGCGGUGGAGCAUGUGGUUUAAUUCGAUGCAACGCGAAGAACCUUACCUGGUCUUGACAUCCACAGAACUUUCCAGAGAUGGAUUGGUGCCUUCGGGAACUGUGAGACAGGUGCUGCAUGGCUGUCGUCAGCUCGUGUUGUGAAAUGUUGGGUUAAGUCCCGCAACGAGCGCAACCCUUAUCCUUUGUUGCCAGCGGUUAGGCCGGGAACUCAAAGGAGACUGCCAGUGAUAAACUGGAGGAAGGUGGGGAUGACGUCAAGUCAUCAUGGCCCUUACGACCAGGGCUACACACGUGCUACAAUGGCAUAUACAAAGAGAAGCGACCUCGCGAGAGCAAGCGGACCUCAUAAAGUAUGUCGUAGUCCGGAUUGGAGUCUGCAACUCGACUCCAUGAAGUCGGAAUCGCUAGUAAUCGUAGAUCAGAAUGCUACGGUGAAUACGUUCCCGGGCCUUGUACACACCGCCCGUCACACCAUGGGAGUGGGUUGCAAAAGAAGUAGGUAGCUUAACCUUCGGGAGGGCGCUUACCACUUUGUGAUUCAUGACUGGGGUGAAGUCGUAACAAGGUAACCGUAGGGGAACCUGCGGUUGGAUCACCUCCUUA